UACGGUUUCAUUUGGGGCUCGAAACAGAAAAACUCGUUUUCGCGGUUCCGCGUUGUGCUUUGCCGAACAGAGUAGGUUGCGCAAUUGAAAAGGCCGCACUGGGAAAACUGCCUGGGGCCUUUCUUGUCUACAGCUUCAUUUCAAGGAAAGUUUGCUUUGUCAGCCGCAGAGUGAAGAGGCCACACAAUUACACUGUUCUCCAAACAACGCGUCGCAAGGAAGCAGUGACGGCUCCGAUGAUGGCUGAAGUGACAGCCGAAACUGUCAGCCAGCCGUGAAGUGAAAUUGGACACGCCAAGGUCACAUGGUACCAAGAGGCGCUAAUAUUUGGAACCUUCCUUUGGCUUCCCAACAUGAACGAGCGACAGCAGGACACCGCUUAGCAUGCAGUCAACACCUGCCUCGCCCGCAGUCCUUCUUUUCCAGCGGCUUCAUCGUCAGCAUCUAUUACAGAGAUAGGUGUAGCGUUGAAGACGGGGGAGGAAGGGGUGGGGGUGGGGUGGGGUGGGGCGGAGGCUCUUUGUAUUCUGCUAAUCCUCCCGUACAGUUGCAGAGGGUAAUGGGGGUUAACAAGAGCUUCGCUUCCACGCAUGCUGACCGAGUUCCUUUGAGGCCAGAGGAAAACUAGUGGGAUUGCGAUAAAGAAACCUCUCUGUAGGCUUGUCCAUUCGGGAUGGUUGGAGCUUGCUGAUGGGAGUUAUGAGAGUAGGCAGGGGAUGGGGGGGUGGGGGGGGGGGAUUUUUAGAAGUAAUAGCGCGAGCUAUCACAAACUUUUCGUCAAUCAGGCCUUCUGUUUCAUUUCCCUGAGAUUCUACCAUUUGGACUUUGUAUUUUUUUUUUGUGUGCGUCACUUCCAGGACCUUAUGCUUGACUACUUCCGCAUUAGUAUCUUUGGCUUGAAGUCACUGAUAGUGGUCACGGUUCAUCCCCUGAUGUAUGUGGAAGUCAAACGCGGGUUUACGCAUUGACAUUGUGGAUGGGAGUGUGAAUGGUUGUGAUUUAAGAGUGAAGUGGAACCACUCCGGGAUGAAAAGCGGAAGAUGGAUGGUGGUUUGAAGAAAUGUGAAGAGAAAAAAAAAAUCAUUUUGGCUCAAAAUGUGGUAAUAUUAACGCUGCACUUAACUAACCAUGAGUGAAAAUAUGUUUUUUUUUUUUCUCUGACUUCUAUCAAGACUGCCAAGUGGGAGGCAAUAUAUAUUACGCCUCAUGGGAGGCUCUCAGCGUGGAUCUUUUCAACCAAUCGGAGUGAAUACACAUUUGGUGCUUUUUCCAUUUAAAAAAAUUUAAAAAUAAAUAAAUAAAUAAAUAAAACCGAGGCUCGGGUUGGGGACACCACAACACAUAUGUCGAAAAAGCGAGGGGACACCACCGCUCAAUAUCUUUGUCACGCAAUUGUAAUUGUGUGGGGCUGUGGUGGCAGGGCCGCAGAAUCUGUUUGGAUAUUGCUGGGUUAGAUUUCCCCAGAGUUUGGAAGAGUGUUAAAAAAAAAUAAAGGAAAAAGUCUUU